AAGCUGACGAGUCCCAAAUAGGACGAAACGCGCGUCCUGGAU
rfam:Schistosoma rodhaini strain Burundi genome assembly, scaffold: SROB_scaffold0014282